rnacentral:rRNA from 1 species
UACGUAGGUGGCAAGCGUUAUCCGGAAUUAUUGGGCGUAAAGCGCUCGCAGGCGGUUUCUUAAGUCUGAUGUGAAAGCCCACGGCUCAACCGUGGAGGGUCAUUGGAAACUGGGAGACUUGAGUGCAGAAGAGGAGAGUGGAAUUCCACGUGUAGCGGUGAAAUGCGUAGAGAUGUGGAGGAACACCAGUGGCGAAGGCGGCUCACUGGCCCGAUACUGACGCUGAGGCACGAAAGCGUGGGGAGCAAACAGG